AUGCACAUUUCAUUGACCUGCUUUUGUUAACAAGUGACGAGCAGUGUUAUUUCUGAUGUGCUACAGAAAUAGUUGAAGGCUAAUUAGCAGCAUAGCUGUGUGUAGUUACUGCUGCCAGUCUCCUUCAUACAAAG
rnacentral:snoRNA from 1 species